ACGAAACGUGGAGGGCUUGAGUGACGGGCGAAGGUCCAAUCAGCAAGGCGAGAGGAAAGCGGAAGCCAAUCGAAGCCGAGCGGGUGCGGGCCUACGGCGGAGGAAGCCCUCGCUCGUGCCCCCUCCUCCUCCCCAGCCGCGGGGGUGUCGCUGCGCAUAAGGUCCCGGCCUGCGCCGCCGAUGCUGACGCACGGAGCGGGUCCGGCCCGCCUCGGAGUGGCGCCUGCGCUGAGGUGCUCACCCCGGGCAGGGCAGGGCCCGGGUGGCGACGUGCGGAGGGGUUGCUGGGGGCAACGGCUGCGGCUUCGCGGCCUCCUUCCCUCCCUGCUCAUCGCGGUGCCAAGCAGUCGCUGCCCGUCCUGCACCCGGCCGCCAUCUCAGGGACCAGCAGACCCCUGCUUAAACCCGACGUGCUCCUUAGAAAGGGAAACCAGAGCGGGAGGCCCCUGCGGAGCUGCUGCCCGCCUCUCUCUGAACCGAGGCAAAGCUUGGGGCUUAGGGUCCAAACCCGUGCCCUUGAUAAGGCAGCAGCUGAAGAAUGACCCAAAAAUAAAAUUCUGAUGAUGAAAAGAUACUUGCCAAAAAUCAUCUGCUCUCUACAGCUUCUCCAGAUUUAUCCUACAAGAUACCCACAGCCUCAGAAUGAAACGAUGGGAGCCAUUUCAAAGCAGUUAAUCACUGAUGGUGAGAGCUCAUCUGUGCUUCAGGACACAAGAAUCAAAGGUGCUUUCUCUGGACAAUGGAGAACAGAGGGUGUUCUAUAAAGAGCACUUUUGGAAGACUUUGCGAUUAGCUGAGUACAAAAAAUUAGUUCUACAAGUGAUUAGAAAACAGGAUGUACGAAACAAUGACAGAAACACCAAACUUUGCAACGUGUUAACCACACCAUUGGAAGGAAAAAGGUAGAUCCUCCAAGAUCAUGGUCAAAAAAUGAAUGUGAAUUUCUGUUGUCCAUCUCCAAACAUUUAGCCCAAACGGGAGCAGUAAUUCACAGCUCACAGAAACUCUGAAAUGCAGGAUUUAUAACCUAGGAUUUAAAUACACAGCCAAUAAAUAAGCAAAUAAGUUGAACAACUUCUGAAACACCCACCUUUCAUUCAAAAUAGAAGUGUAAGAAUAUGCACUUCUUAGUGUGGACCUAGGGAAAUGCUAAGAAGAGGUGUGAAAGGCAAGGAAUAAACAAAACACAAAUACUUGCCAUGUACUGUCCUAUUUACAAGCUGUUACUGACCUAUACUAAUCAGAAAGAGAUUUUAAUACACACAGUUUUUCUACGGUUCUCAACAUGAACACUCCAAAUGUCACUGAUUUUUGUAUGAAUGGCUUAUUCUCUUCUUCCUCACUAUACUCAUCAUCCAUAGCAUCUGUAAGGUCUGUUGCUAGUGAUUAAUACCAUGAAAUCCUCUCAUGACAGCAGUAAGCUGAAAAGAUGUUAGAUAAAACCCAGAAUUAUUUGUUUAUGUUAUGAAAGUCAGUGGGAGUCUGAGUAAGAUGCUGAAAGAAGGCCUGAGCAAGGAUUUCUGCAUAUA